CUCGCACGCACGACCUCUGCCCUCGUUCGCCCGCCGCCUCCCUUCGUCCCUUCGCCGCCACCCCUCGAUCUAUUCGCGACGCGAACGCCGCCGCCUGGCAGAUCCCAGGCGCUAGCCGCGGAUCCCUUUGCCGGCUCCGAGGGGUCGUGGAGGCGCCGCCGCCGAGGUCCUAAAGGAGGUGCCGCCGCCAUCGUUGUGGACCUCCGGGUGGCCAUCGGGACACCUCUGCUGAGGUACGCCUUCGCCUUCGCACGCUGCCGACCUCCCAGAGGAGACGCCGCCGCCAUCAACCUCCAAGGGGAGACGCCGCCACCACCUGCGCUAAACCCUAGGCAUCAACCACCGUGCUCCCGUCGUCUGGUUCCUCCUGCGUUCGCCACCAUGCGAUCGGCUUCCUCCCUCAGGUUCUUGUACGGAAUAUACCACCAGAUCCUGAUGAAUCAGUUAGCAAGCUUGUGGAACAUUUCUUCCUUGUCAAUCAUCCUGAUCAUUAUCUGAAACAUCAGGAGUGUAAACUGAUACUAUUUCCAACUACAAAGUGUUGGCUGCCCAGGAAGAAGGAAAGGUCAGUCCAGACAUGACAUUUAACUCUAAUAAUGGAGGUAUGUAGUGCCUACUGCUCCCUUGUCCCUUGCUACCGUCUGGGGAUGCUCGGCUCGCAGUCCCUGCUCUCAUUUUCCUCCAGCCUCUGGUAACCCUCCUCCUCACCCGCCUCGCCGAAGCGGGAUUCACAGGGAGCAUCAGGUACAACUUAUGUGGGGAUGAACCAUCAGCUAAAGGGAGUGAUAGGAAAAUAUUUUGUUGAAUGCAAUGGGAAGGCGAAAAACGACACGCCUUGGCGAAGCAACUCUAAGAUUCGGUAAGGCUAAUCAAGUCUGCAAUCAAAUCCAAGAGCAGGGGCAGAGAAAACCGUUAAAAUACUUUUUAGCUAUUGAUUGAAGUGACUGGUAAUCAGUAGCAGGAGCAACAGUUGUAGUAAGAACCUACCUAGGCAUAUUUUCUCUCUUUCCUAUCACAUGGCACAUUGAAUAACUUUAUAGUACAAAUACAUUCACAUAUGUUAUUUUAAAUUAUCAUGUCAUGGAGGUUCUCGUUAUUUCGAAUCUUUGGUUGGAACCUUCAUUUUGUGUUAUUAAAUGCACAUGGUAUUCAGUUAUCGCCAUUAUGGUGAGAAGACUUUGAUCUUGAUAUAUCAGAUUUAAGCCUCUUACACCAUAGGAGGUCCUCCUUUUGGUGAUAUUCACUCAUAUGUCAUUUUAAAUUAUCAUGUCAUGGAGGUGCUGGGUAUUUCGAAUCUUUGGUUGGAACCUUCAUUUUGUGUUAUUAAAUGCACAUGGUAUUCAGUUAUCGCCAUUAUGGUGAGAAGACUUUGAUCUUGAUAUAUCAGAUUUAAGCCUCUUACACCAUAGGAGGUCCUCCUUUUGGUGAUAUUCACUCAUAUGUCAUUUUAAAUUAUCAUGUCAUGGAGGUGCUGGGUAUUUCGAAUCUUUGGUUGGAACCUUCAUUUUGCGUUAAAUUCACAUGGUAUUCAGUUAUCUCCAUUAUUGCCAGUAGCAACGCACAAGCACUUUCUAUUAAAUGCACAUGCUAUUUUCUUUUGUAUCAUGUCAUUUUGUGGUCAUUAACAAUCAGAUGGAUGAAACUGAUCUUGUUUUGUGCAUCAUGGAUUUUCCUCAACUGAAUGAGUAGAAACAUAAGUGUGUAAUGUAGUAGCCCCUCUAUUCCAUUGUUAUAAAUAUUAUAGUUUUUCAAUCUGCUGACCUGAUCGUAACAGCUGUUUAAAAGGAAGUGAUCACAUCACUAUUUAGAUUUUACUUUUUUUUUUGUAUGCUUAAACAUAAGAUUAGUUUGUCCCCUUUCUUUUUACCCUUCAUGCUAACAUAAUAAAUACAUAUUUGAACUGAAUUGGUUGUAUUACAUAUGCCACGAAGGAUGUCGCCGCUUGAAGCUCGAUUUCCAUCAGCCCCUCUUUUAAUUCACUUGCAUUGUUUCAGCUUUGCAUUGUACUUCUUUGACGAAUUACCUCAUCCAAUCGGCUUUAAUUCAGAGCAUCAAUCUUACUAAUUAUCAUUGCCUUAACUUUCCAUAUGAACCUCUUACAGGAAACAAGGACUCCUAUUUGUCUGUAGUACUGCCCAUGAGACUCAACCUUGUUUUACCUUAAUUAUCAUGGUGUGCCUUUUUUUAUAAUAGCUCACCAUUUUGUUAGUGGCAAUAAAAUGCAUCUUUAGGCACACCUAUAGCGCACAUGUGAUGAUGUACAGAUGAAAGAAAGAUCUUAGAAGCUGAGAAGCCGAGAGCUGGAGGAACAAGGAGAAGCUAAAAGGACAGAAGAAGUCAGAGCAUGUGGAGCUGUUGGGCAAGCAGAGUUCUAUCUGGGUAUUUAGGUAGCUGAGGAUAAAAGGGAAAAGGAAAAUGUUGACGAUAUAGUUACUCAAUGCUGAGAAUGUUGCAUGCAUACUUUGUUGCCUAUAUAUCAUUGGCUUUGUAUUGAUCCAGGCAAGAACAAAUCAGACGGAACAAGUUUGCUACGGGUGGGUGUGCAUCAAGCUGCUUCGUUGCCGGCGGCGAGUAAUCUCAACAUGUUUAUGGCGCAUAUGUACCAGAAAAUUCAAAAGGUUCUGAUCAUACGUGCGAGGGGAAUCAGGUAGGGCUUGAUGCGCCUUCCAUACGAAAUGUUGAUGAGAAUUACCCAAGUAGUCCAGAUGCAUGUCAGGUUGUUCGCUUGGUCUGCGCCAACGAGCAUCUCCUACAAGUCAUCAUCUCUCUCUUUGUCGGCUCCAUGUUGUAGCCUGCUAGGAGUCCUACCUUGCCAUGGAGCAUGUCCUUUGUCAUGGGUCGUACUGAGGUGAGUGCUGGUGUGGGAUUUGAUGUGUUAGUAGAUUGGGACGUCGGCUUCUUGGUGUGGUUUGAUGAGACGGUGGCGAUAUGGUCUGGAAGGUGGCAUGUGUGAGGCGAGAGAGAAUAACGGGCAGAGUCAUUCAUAUAUAAUACUAAAAUCCUACCCUUCAUAAAUUAGAUUUUUCGACGAUAAGUAAGUACCUAAGUCUAUGUUAUGUUUAACUUAAAAGUACAAUGUCUAUGUGGGCCAUACAUACACCGAUUAAUAAAGCAGUUAGUACUUAAAUUGACCGUCAAGUCCUAUGUGCCUUAGGGGUAAGUUUUAAUCUCCACCAUUGACUCACUUAAGGUGGGUAUACUGAAGCAGACCCCUUAUAAUUAUGAACGGUUUAUAAAGUUGAAGGAUGAAACUUGAACGAACACAAUUCUGAGGUUUGUAAAGUGAAGCCAAAGACAAGUUCGAGGGGUAAUAUGGACUUCUCUCAAACUAUAUUAUCAGAGGACAAUGAGGGUCUUGAAGACAAUGAAAGCGAUGAGUUUCUGCUGGUUCUGUUUUGUUGUAGGCGAAGUUCUUAAUUAUAAUUAUCAAUGUGUUUGUUUUUCUUAAGGACGCAGUGACAUGCAAGGCGAGGGAAAUUGAAGCCAAAACAUGCAGGACGGCCAGGAGUGUGCCAUUUUUUCUAUGACAGGGGGUGGUUCUUCAAUCUUCAGGGAAUCAAGCGGUAGCAUCAGAUGCUGACAUGCAUGGAAGGUAGCAGUAUAUGUAUUUGUAGCAAAUCAUCAUCGCCCAUAAAUAAAUCAUCUCUUGCCCGCUUCCUCUGUCCGGUUGUCAACUCAAAUUGCUUUGGUUCACAAGUUCGUUUCAUCGUACAUCUAGGUACACUAGAACUGAGAGACUACUUUCCUUGAAAGGCUCAUGCGAGUAAACUGACAAUAGUAUUCAUCCAAGAUGCAGUUGUAUAUGUAUCUUCAUAGAGAUGUAGAUGCAUAGAUAGUUAAAUAGUGCACAUGUUCAUUGACAGGGAUGUAGAUGUAGUAUACAACCGAGGUUACAUUGACAAGUUGGUCCAUGAUGCUCCCAGGAAAAAGAAAAUAUGAUAUAUUGUUUCACACUAUCAUCCAUAGUGAAAAUAUGAUAUAUUGUUUCACACUAUAUUGUUUCACACAGUAAGAUGUAAUCUACGGAUUCACCAAAUCAGCUUGAACAUUGUUAUCAUGCUUCGUAUGAUUUGGUAAUGAUUUCAGAACAUGGAAUGGGGCAAAUAAAGUUGAAACCAUGUACUGUUCCUCACAAAAAAACAGUUACUGUUGAGAGGUUUCAUACUGACAUUAUUUCUUACCAACUAAUGGUGCAUUACUCCUGCCAUGAUAACAGCAGCUAACUACUCCAUGAUUACAGCAGUAAACAUUGAUAAGAGUACAAGCAUUGGAGGAGUACUCACCACAUUCGAGGAAGUCGUCAUCAUGGUGGUGGUGGUCGAGGAAGUCGUAGGUGCUGGUGGCAUCAUCAUGGAGCAGGCACCAUCUUCUCCUCGACUUAAAAUGUGGCGUCCGGGACUUUGAUUGCAUUGAACAAUGGGUGUGGCCAUGAAGACUUCACUGCAUCAAACAUCUCCUGAAGCUCCAAGUUGGUAUCCCAUUGAAUAUUGAUGGAGUUCCAAUAGACCGCACUGAAGGUGCACUCAAAAAAUGGGUGUUUGUUCGUUUCCAGUGGUGUGGUGUUGCACAAAAGACAGGAGUGACUCCAAUAUCAAAAUGUCUCUGGUGGAGCAUGUCCCUUAUGUUGACUUUGUCCAUUAACAUCAGCCAGGUGAACACUUUUAAGUUUCAUGAUACACUUUGUCUUCCAGAUCAUUGUGAUGUAUGCGGGUGUGGCUGCAGUUCUCUGAAGAAGAAGUUGGUGAAUUUCUUGGGCCGAAACUGAACAUCUCCCCAACAAGUAAUCCAUUCAUCAGCCAUCAUUGGUUCCAAGUAGAGAUCAUUCAUAUGAUUCUGCAGAUAUGUUAAUUCAUGUAGCGCCUCGAUUGAUAGAGUGAGGUAAAAGUUUUUAGAAGCCUGUGGUCUGUCUUGGAAUUGCACUAUAGAAAUAUCCUCCUCCCUUGUGGAAGUGAACAUGUGUGGCAGCUUGUUGGAAAGGGGUUCGUCAUCGAUCGGAAUAUCUUUUCAUAGAAGAAUUGUGUCGCCAGCUCUAGGAAUACAAGUUGUAACCCCUCUGUAUAUGUCCAUCAACGAGAACACAUCGUUCUGUAUAUCUUUUCAUAAAAGAAUUGUGUGAAAAUUUCUUAA